GACAGAGGGUGCAAACGUUGUUCGGAAUUACUGGGCGUAAAGCGCACGUAGGCGGUCUUUUAAGUCGGGGGUGAAAUCCUGGAGCUCAACUCCAGAACUGCCUUCGAUACUGGAAGACUCGAGUCCGGGAGAGGUGAGUGGAACUGCGAGUGUAGAGGUGAAAUUCGUAGAUAUUCGCAAGAACACCAGUGGCGAAGGCGGCUCACUGGCCCGGUACUGACGCUGAGGUGCGAAAGCGUGGGGAGCAAACAGG
rnacentral:rRNA from 1 species